rnacentral:rRNA from 1 species
AUUGAACGCUGGCGGCAGGCCUAACACAUGCAAGUCGAGCGAGCGGCGGACGUGUGAGUUAUGUAUGGGGCUCUGCCCGAUAGAGGGGGUUAACUACUGGAAACGGUUGCUAAUACCGCAUACUUUCGGAUGAACCCAUGUGGGAUUAGCUUGUAGUGUGGGUAUAGGCUCACCUUGGCGACGAUCUCUAGCUGGUCGUAGAGGAUGAUCAGCCACACUGGGACUGAGACACGGACCAGACUCCUACGGGAGGCAGCAGUGGGGAAUAUUGGACAAUGGGCGCAAGCCUGAUGCAGCCAUGCCGCGUGUAUGAAGAAGGCCUUAGGGUUGUAAAGUACUGUCAGCGGGGAGGCGUUACCCGCAGAAGAAGCACCGGCUAACUCCGUGCCAGCAGCCGCGGUAAUAC